UAUUCUUCUUUCUUGACAUUUCUUUCUCUUUUCUUUCUGUCAUCUUUUCUCCAUCGAUGAAGCAAGCUUCAUCAUAAUACUCAUAAAUACCCUUCAUCGGCGAUGAUGGCGGGUCUUUUUCGAAGACAUACGAUAGAAGACAGAGGUUACCAAGGGACUCGAUUCAAACUCCAUUGGAGAAUCAAAUGGCUCCGCUUCCAACUCAAGGUUCAAAAGUAAACGAAAUCGAAAAUGGAAUCUGACGAGCCGUUCUUGCGUGCAAAAACAGAAGCCAUCGAAGAACGUACCGGUUUUUGUGAACGAGCAUCUUGCGUGCAUUGCAUGAUGAAAGAUGAAGAUCGAAGAUGACAAAUCGAUUUCUCCCGAAAGGUGAUGGUGAAGCUUUGGACAAUGAAGAAGAUUGAAGUUGUUGAAGAAGAAGAAUCAUGAAGAUCUUGGCAGUGAGGGAGAUUGAUGCUCUGGUGCGGAGAACGUUGAAGACUUGAAAUUCUAUUGAAGAGUGAAAGUUGAAGAUGAAGUUUGAAGAAGAAAAAGCUCUCGAUGAGGUAUUUGGAUCAAUUAUGCUUAAUCGUGUUUGGACCUUUCAUGGAGUAAUGGAUCAAAGCCUUGGAUGGGAAAGUUGGAAUUGAUUGGCUAGGAGGGUAAUCAUAGGCCAUGCUUGGAGUUUUGAAAUGAAUGUGAACCUUAACAUAUGGUGGUUUUCUUGACUUUGUAGGUGGCUCCAUGGAAGAGGAACAACUUAGCCUAGAGGAAAGAAGGUGACAUUAAGCAUGAAGAUGGCAAAGAAGAAGUGUUUAGGAAUUUAUAUUAGAUGCUAGAACCUUAGGUCAUGAACUUGUAUCUCUUUUGAAUUUGUCUCAUGUGUAAGGUGUUAACAUAAUUAUUUACUUGGAACUUGAAUUUUGAACUUGAGGUUGGAAGUUGAAUGCAAUGGAAUGUUUGGAUUUGUA